GGAGCUGUAGCUCAAUGGAAGAAUGCUUGCCUAGUAUGCAUGAGGCCCUGGGUUCAAUCCCCAGCACUCCU
rnacentral:tRNA from 1 species